GUCUAUGAACAAACCACCCUGAGCGCGCAGAAUCUCUUCUGAUAUGGGAAGCUAACCAGGGUCGGGCCUGGUUAGUACUUCGAUGGGAGACCGCCUGGGAAUACCAGGUGUUUAGGCU
rnacentral:rRNA from 1 species